UACGUAGGGGGCAAGCGUUAUCCGGAUUUACUGGGUGUAAAGGGAGCGUAGACGGCACAGCAAGUCUGAUGUGAAAACCCGCGGCUCAACUGCGGGAUUGCAUUGGAAACUGUUGAGCUUGAGUACUGGAGGGGCAGGCGGAAUUCCUGGUGUAGCGGUGGAAUGCGUAGAUAUCAGGAGGAACACCGGUGGCGAAGGCGGCCUGCUGGACAGUAACUGACGUUGAGGCUCGAAAGCGUGGGGAGCAAACAGGAUUAGAUACCCU
rnacentral:rRNA from 1 species